UGCAAAUGAACCUUCCUUUAAUUAUAAGCUGAAGUAAUCCAAGUACUCCUGUGAAGAAUUGUAUGCAUGCCUAAAAUGCUAUUCUUUUAGUACUAAUUGCCAGUUGUUUAAUCACUUUUAAGAUUUUCUUUUAUGUGUCGGUCAUAUUUUUAUAAAUGCCCUCUGUGACAGAAAACUGUCAUCCCAUGUGGAUUUGAUUGCGCUGUAAGGAAAAACCAUUCAAAGAGAGAUAAUGGAGGCCCUGCGUUGCUCCUGUACUUCUAGCACAUGUGUCUGCCCCUGAGACCCAAUGCAUUUGCACAAUCUGUGCCUCUGCUUCUAGACGGACCUAACUGGAACCACGUGCUCCUGUGCAUUCAAUGGCGCAUCGGCUGCAAAGCCACAUGAGAAGUAAACAUGCUCUUUCAUGUUAUUCUCCAUUGAAUAUGAUCUGAAAGUACUUCCCAACUUCCUGAAUAGACUCAGAAUGUUCAAGGAACUUCUCACAGAUUUGUAUCAAAAACCUAUAAUACAUGAAACGUGAGACUUCCCUCAAAAUACUGCCUUUUGACAAGUGUCAAAGAGAAAAUAAAUCCUAUAGAUUGUGACCCUGAAUUGUCAUUAAAUUUGUGUUUACUGCCUGGUUUCCUCAGUUUCCAAGUUGAGUACGCUCAGGUAAAAGGCAUUGAAAGUGGUAAGUCUUCUUCCAUCUAACAACAUGUUAAGUAUUUGGAGAUAGAUGCAAAUUAUCACCUCG
rnacentral:lncRNA from 1 species